ACUGUGCAAUCAUAUAUGUACACGUCUCUGGUGCAGUCUAAAAUAGGCAAUAUAAAUUCAAAACUGUUUACAUAAAGAUACUUUCUCAAGGUACUAGUUUGAUACAUUUAUGAAUUAUCUAUGAAACGGAGUGUCCUCUGUCAAUUACGAGUGUCUUCUUGUUCUAACUAAUAUAUACCAACAACAGGAAACUAUCAAAUAUGAUGCAUUUUUUUGUUUUUGCUGAGUCUGACAUUUGAAAUGUAACGUAUUUUCUUAAUACGAUUGAAUCCUGAAUCAAAAACGAGAAAUAAAAUAUCUUCUCUGUACACAAACCUUUUGUACAGCACUUUACAUCUAUGUGCUCUUGAUGCUGUGAGCAGAUGAAUUUCCUACAACCCGUUGUUCACAUUUUGGAAGCUUUCGACGGGUUGCAGAAUUUAGGAGAAUAUGUAUCGUUGAACAGGAUCAGCAAGAAUCCCUGGUGUAGCGCUCCAGGUAUGGUGCUAUUUUGCAAUGUGUUGGGAUCCAUAUAUAGUACCCAGCGGUAUUGUGGGUUUAACAUCUCCAUAGAAACAGCCUGAAAUCGCGUAGCAAUUGUCUGAUCAAUGUGAAGUACAAUAUAUUAUGAAGAGUAAAAAUCAGAAACGAUA